rnacentral:rRNA from 1 species
UGCCAGCCGCCGCGGUAAUACGGGGGGAUCUAGCGUUAUUCGGAAUAACUGGGCGUAAAGCGAGCGUAGGCGGAUUUGUAAGUUGGAGGUGAAAUCCCAGGGCUUAACCCUGGAACUGCCUUCAAAACUACAUUUCUUGAGUUUGGUAGAGGAGAGUGGAAUUCCUAGUGUAGAGGUGAAAUUCGUAGAUAUUAGGAGGAACACCAGUGGCGAAGGCGACUUUCUGGCUAUUUUCUGACGCUGAGGAGCGAAAGCGUGGGGAGCAAACAGGAUUAGGUA